GCUGGCGGCAUGCUUAACACAUGCAAGUCGAACGUGAAAGCACUUCGGUGUGAGUAGAGUGGCGGACGGGUGAGUAACGCGUGGGAAUCUGCCCAGUAGUGGGGGACAACUACCGGAAACGGUAGCUAAUACCGCAUACGCCCUAUGGGGGAAAGGCUUCGGCCGCUAUUGGAUGAGCCCGCGUCAGAUUAGCUAGUUGGUAGGGUAAAGGCCUACCAAGGCAACGAUCUGUAGCUGGUCUGAGAGGACGAACAGCCACACUGGGACUGAGACACGGCCCAGACUCCUACGGGAGGCAGCAGUGGGGAAUAUUGGACAAUGGGCGAAAGCCUGAUCCAGCAAUGCCGCGUGUGUGAAGAAGGCCUGCGGGUUGUAAAGCACUUUCAGUUGGGAAGAUGAUGACGUUACCAACAGAAGAAGCACCGGCUAAAUCCGUGCCAGCAGCCGCGGUAAUACGGAUGGUGCGAGCGUUAAUCGGAAUUACUGGGCGUAAAGCGCGCGUAGGCGGCUAAGUCAGUCAGAAGUGAAAGCCCCGGGCUCAACCUGGGAAUUGCUUUUGAUACUGCUUGGCUAGAGUUUGGUAGAGGAUAGUGGAAUUCCAGGUGUAGCGGUGAAAUGCGUAGAUAUCUGGAGGAACAUCAGUGGCGAAGGCGACUGUCUGGACCAAAACUGACGCUGAGGUGCGAAAGCGUGGGUAGCAAACAGGAUUAGAUACC
rnacentral:rRNA from 1 species